AGAUGUGAGGGUAAUCUGGCUGUGACAUCUGUCACUCAGUUGAUCUCCAGGGUUGAUUUGGCUGAUCUGGCUGGCCAGGCACACUUUCCCUUCCUCCCUCACCACUCCAUGUGCAUCCCUCCUGAAGCUGCAUGCUCAGUCCAAGAGGAUGACCAUCUCUGUUAGAGGAGGACCAUUCUUUGGUCAAGGGUAUACGAGUAGCUGCACUCCCCUGGUAGAACUUCCAAACAAGCUUUCAAGUUAUAAAGUUGUAUAUGUAUAAGACUAGCUACAAAAUCUAUCACAAAAGUAUAUCCCAUGAGUGU
rnacentral:snRNA from 10 species